rnacentral:rRNA from 1 species
UACGGAGGAUCCAAGCGUUAUCCGGAUUUAUUGGGUUUAAAGGGUGCGUAGGCGGCCUAUUAAGUCAGGGGUGAAAGACGGUAGCUUAACUAUCGCAGUGCCUUUGAUACUGAUGGGCUUGAAUGAACUAGAGGUAGGCGGAAUGUGACAAGUAGCGGUGAAAAUGCAUAGAUAUGUCACAGAACACCAAUUGCGAAGGCAGCUUACUAUGGUUUUAUUGACGCUGAGGCACGAAAGCGUGGGGGAUCAAACAGG